UUUUGUAGAAUGAGCUGAAAGCCAGUGGUGGCGAAAUCAAAAUUCAUAAAAUGGAGCAAAAGGAGAAUGUGCCCCCAGGUCCUGAGGUCUGCAUCACCCAUCAGGAAGGGGAAAAGAUUUCUGCAAAUGAGAAUAGCCUGGCAGUCCGUUCCACCCCUGCCGAAGAUGACUCCCGUAAGCAUUCUUUCUUAGAUCUGGAGGAUGAGGUUCUUGUUUUCUAUCUGUAUUUGGUUCAGGGGUGUUCCCAUUACUGUCAGUGCUGAGAAAAUAACAUAGUAAAUCCUCUACUUGAAUUUAAGGGCUAAUGCUUGAAUGUCCUUUACACACUUCAUGGCUUAAGGAGAAGUUAAAUUCAAUUGAAUAUAGUUAACUUGGGACAAACUGAA
rnacentral:lncRNA from 1 species